rnacentral:rRNA from 1 species
UAGUCCGCGCCGUAAACGAUGAUUACUCGUUGUUGGCAAUACAUCGUCAGCGACUGAGCGAAAGCAUUAAGUAAUCCACCUGGGGAGUACGAUCGCAAGAUUGAAACUCAAAGGAAUUGACGGGGGCCCGCACAAGCGGAGGAACAUGUGGUUUAAUUCGAUGAUACGCGUGGAACCUUACCUGGGCUUAAAUGCAAAACGACAGAUCGGGAAACUGAUCUUUCUUCGGACGGAUUGCAAGGUGCUGCAUGGCUGUCGUCAGCUCGUGCCGUGAGGUGUCGGGUUAAGUCCCAUAACGAGCGCAACCCUCAUCAUUAGUUGCCAGCGGGUAAUGCCGGGGACUCUAAUGAAACUGCCGGUGUAAACCGAGAGGAAGGUGAGGAUGACGUCAAGUCAGCACGGGCCCUUAUGUCCAGGGGCUACACACGUGUUACAAUGGGUCAGUACAAAGGGGCAGCUACCUGGUGACAGGGAUGGCUAAUCUCUAAAACUG